rnacentral:lncRNA from 1 species
GAGCCACCAGCCCCGUCAAGACAGAAGUAUUAAGAGGACAUAGCAACAUCCUCACUCUCCCUCCGUCCCAAUGAAAGUUUCCAGGUUCCUGCUAAAAACAAGUUGUUUUCUUGCCCAUCGCUCAAGAGCCUUGUCAAGGCAGGCCUCUGGCUGUUGAAUAAAUCUGAGGUUAUUCUUGAGAGUUCGCAACUAAACUCUUAGGUAGUCAGGGCAGCACUUAGAACACCGACUGGGACUUUGUGUAAAUUGUUCUCGUUAAAGACCAGAGUGCAUAAGUCAGGGCUCUGUGCAGCCACUCAACUCUUAGUGGUGCAAAGAAGCUGUCACAGAUAAAGUAGAAGCAAAGGACCAUGGUUAUAGCUUAGUGAGACCUUUAUUUAUGAAACAGAUGACUUGCCAGAUGCAGACCAUGAGCUGCAAGCCCUCACACUGAGGGAUCGUCACGGAGAAGCCAUGUCUGUGUCUGAACCAAGUUCCCCCAAGAGUUUCUCUACCUCCCAAGUCUCCCAGAUUACAACCCCAACAGCUGCUUUCUGACCCAGUCUCUGCCGAGGUUUCUUCCUUCUAUCUUACGUACACUGCUUUCAGGCAACUCGUUUUCCUAGCUCAUGAGUGCAAAAUUGGGACAUAUUUAUUUCUUUUAACGCUUUUUGGAGUGAAUGGAUUCAAAGUGUCCUUUCUGGAGAUGAAGAAAAGGGUAGGUUUUCCUCUGUAAAAGUCCUUAGAGCAUAUAAAUUUAUAAUCAAAUAAAUAGAACCACUGAGACAAUGUGUAUUUUUUUAAAUGUGGCAAACACUUUUCUCUUAUUUUGGCCUUUGUGGGUUUUUUUUUUUUCCAGUAAUUUGACCUUUGGGAGAUGGGUUUUUAAUAUGAUAGUAAAGCAAAAUAACCACUUUGAAUUUUGAAGACAAUGUCAAUG